rnacentral:rRNA from 2 species
AGUGGCGCACGGGUGCGUAACACGUGAGUUACAUGCCCUGCAGUGGGGAAUAGCCCGCCGAAAGGCGGAUUAAUACCCCAUGGUCCCGCGAGGGUAAAGGUGGCGCAAGCUGCCGCUGCAGGAUUGGCUCGCGGCCUAUCAGCUGGUUGGCGGGGUAACGGCCCACCAAGGCGACGACGGGUACCUGGUCUGAGAGGAUGAUCAGGCACACUGGAACUGAGACACGGUCCAGACACCUACGGGUGGCAGCAGUCGAGAAUAAUUCACAAUGGGCGAAAGCCUGAUGGUGCAACGCCGCGUGGAGGAUGAAGGUCUUCGGAUUGUAAACUCCUGUCAUCGGGGAGUAAGACCUGGGCGUGAACAGCGCACAGGGUUGAUAGUACCCGAAGAGGAAGGGACGGCUAACUUCGUGCCAGCAGCCGCGGUAAUACGAAGGUCCCAAGCGUUGUUCGGAAUCACUGGGCGUAAAGGGAGCGUAGGCUGCGCGGUAAGUCAGAUGUGAAAUCCCGGGGCUCAACCCCGGAACUGCAUCCGAUACUGCCGUGCUUGAGGGUUGGAGAGGUAGCUGGAAUUCUCGGUGUAGCAGUGAAAUGCGUGGAUAUCGAGAGGAACACUCGUGGCGAAGGCGAGCUACUGGACAGCAUCUGACGCUGAGGCUCGAAGGCCAGGGGAGCAAAAGGGAUUAGAUACCCCUGUAGUCCUGGCAGUAAACGGUGUGC